rnacentral:lncRNA from 1 species
GUGCUGUGAGGAUGUACCGCAGGGGGAGGAGAGAGAAUCAAUUCUACUUGACCUUCCAACUUAAUCACUGCUCGCUCCACCGCCGCUCUGAGGAGACCUGCAGCUCUGUGAGAGGAAGCAGAGGGCGGGGCCUGUGGUGGGCCACGAGUCACCUCAGACGGCUACAGUAAGUUUGAUUCCUUAAAGAGCAACGUCCGAGUCAGUAACUCCCCCAAAGAAAUAUAAAGUCAUGUCAGCAUUUAUGACAUAAUCAUAAAAAGUUCUCUACUGUCUUUAUAAUGAACUUAUUGAUUUGAAUACUUAAAGCUGCUGUAAGGAGACACUGACGCCUCUUUUAGACCCACAAAAACACUGUCAGAAAUGAGAUCGAUGUGGUCGUUUUUUAUUGUCUGAAAAAGUAGCCUGUCUUUACAUUUCCAUCGAUUUAUUUGGCUGUAAAAGAAAGUAAGAUUGUUUUUUUGUUUUUUUUUAACAGAAAAUAAUACCUUAGCAUUUAAAGAAAAGGAUCAACAAAGCUAUGAUGAAUGCAACUUCACCAGCAGGGGGCACUAAAGUCAAAACGAACCGAAAGCUCCUCACAGAAGCUUGAAGAAGUGCAUUUAUUGUGGUGAUAACGAAUUGAACUGAUAAAGCUAUUUCAAUGUGAACACUUAGAUGAAUACAAAAUAGUAAUUUAAUUAAUAAUUAAUAUUAUUAUCAUGAUUUAUUUAUAUAGUAUGAUGGAGUAUUAGGGCCACAUUAAGAAAAAAAAAGAAGACUUUGAGAUUAAGAUCAUUACAUACGAAAUAAAGUCAUAUUAAAAUCAUUACUUACGAGAAUAAAGGCGUAGCUAAUAGCUAUUCCAACUUGUAAAAAAUGACUUUAUUACGACUUUAUUCUUGUAAGUAAUGAUUUUAUUACGACUUUAUCUUAUAUUACUUUAUUAAGGCUUUAUUGUCGCAAGUAAUUAGUUUAUCACAACUUUAUUCGCUUAAGUCAUUAUUUUAUUACAACUUUAUUUUUGCAAAUAAUUACUUUAUUACGACUUCAUUCUCAUAAUAAAUCAAGUAAUUACGACUUUAUUCUCAAAGUAAUUACAAAGUCUUAAUUUUUUUUUUUUUAUGUGGCCCUAACAGUCCAGUUGUAAUUUAGCACCUUUAAAAAAAAAACUUAGAGCUUUGACAUACUUUCAGAGCUCAGAGGACCAAAUGAAGCAGAAUGACUCUAAAUAAUAUAAACCACAUCACUACAACUGAAGAAACCAAAACAACCAUGAAAACCUCAGCAACAUAUCGACCCAACAACAGAAGAACUAAUAUAGUUCAGUUUUAUUAUGGUGAUUUUAUUAUGGUCCAAUUUUACCAACAUUAUCAGAGUUAGUAACUGCUGAGCAAAUUCAGUUAGAUGGACAGAAAAAACUCGAUUCUUCAAGUUUUUGGUGUUAGUCGUUUAUGGUUUCCACUGGGUUUCUGAUUUUUUUAUUACAGAGUAAUGCAGCAGCUUAAAGGUUAACUGCUCCGUUACUUGGCAAUAUCUCCAAAAUGAUAAAACAAGCUCAUCAAGUGGUAGUUAGUGUAAAUUUAUACGAGCCAAAGACAAGAGGAGCGAUUACUUGAAUUAUGAUAUUAAAACUUGUACAUAAUUUAGAGUUUUUUAAUGGAAAACAACACAUUAAGGCAUUCAGCUUAAUGAGAAUGACUUAAAACAUGACUGUUUAAUGACUUAAAAGGUAAUUCAUUUUACAUUAAAUGAUACCAUUAUGUUUUAUAGAUCAUUAUAAAAGCAGAGUGGGUGGUUAAUUCCUCAGCAGUGAAAUCCCUUCCACAGCGAGUCCUGAAUUUAUGGCUUUUGUAUCAAAAUCUACAGAAUAGGAAAGAAAAUGUACCUUAACUCAGAAUAUGUUCUUAGAGCGAAUAAUACAGAGUGUAAAGGUUAAUACUGACGUAAAAAAGACGGACAGCCUCGGCUCUUUGUGCUGUUUAAUCAGGUGGAAGUCAGCUGAGGUAAUACGAGGCUCAGAGGUCAGGGCAAGGUGAGAACUCAGGGAUUAGAUCGGCGGCCUCGUUUGACACUGUGACUGUCGUCUCCUGAGGUACACAGAAGCUGUUAGUAUCAAAACAGCUCCAGAGGACAUCAGCCCUCCAGUGUGAACAGUAGCUGGCACUUUAUCUGUUUUCUUACUGGUGUUUUUGGCUUAUUAUUAAAUCCCCAACAAACCUUGGCUUCAGCUCAACACUGUUUGUUGAUACCAAACACUUUGUUUCCACAUAUGGCAAACUACUUUAAAGCUCCUGUGGGGAAAUUUCAGCUGGUUAUGAAACAGACUGAAAUGAAUAUAAACGGUUCUUAAUGAGCUCGAACAGGAAAAAAAGAUCAUCAGGGACAAGAUUGACUAUUUUUAUUGUGUAAUUUUUAAUGCCUGAAACUUCUGCAAAGAUAUAAAUUACAAACUCUACCAGAACUCAAACUAACUUUUUUUAGACUUAAAAAAAACUUUAAAAGUUAAGAAGUUUUGGAGCAUCUACCAACAUUUCCUUUUGUUCCUUUUGCACUGAAAGUCAGGAGCAUCCAGCUGUAGUUUGAUUGGUGACAUAAGCAGGGAUAAUGGGACAGGGAUUGAUUGGUAAAGCCUGCUAAAAGGUGCAUGCCAUAGUACCAUUAAGGCCACAAGUAUCCAUGCACUUGGAAGCAAAAAGAUCCGGAGCUCCCCCUGCUGGCAGGCUGCAGUUACCCGCCUAAAUAAUGUUAACAGGAGUGAAAGAGGCCAAACUGUAAUAUUAAAACAGAUUCCAGUUUAGUUUUUCAAUGCUUUUCAGGUCAUUUUUAUUCUGCAGAUUUAUCAUAAAACUAAAUAACUACCAAUCACCGCGGUUUGAAUUUUGCAGUUCACAGCGAUGGCCUUUUUUGGAGCUUCCUCCUAUGCUACCGCCACUACACAAGUGACAAGCCUUCAACUGAGCCUUCAAAUUUAUCUGGAUGAAGGACUUUGAAGUUGCAUACAAAGUCAACAUACAAAGUCAACGUACAGCCCUGUCCUUGUUUUGCUCUGUCCAUCUAUGGUGCAAAUCCCAUCUCUGGUGCAAAUCCCAUGGCAUGGCCAGAUGGUCAGAUAUGCAGGGCUCCUAUUUUGCCGGACGCCAGAUCACGGCGCAUCAAUUCAGUGCAGUGCAGCAUGAACAGCAGCGGAAGUUGUAUGCGGUUACAGAGUAAAAUAUCUGGUCAAUUUUCAAAAUAAAAGAUAAUCAAGACAUUGAACUGUUCUUAACUUGAUUAUCGGAGAGGCCAGAAAUUUCGGUAAUCUCGUGAGCGCUUCUCCUCCGAUGGCGGUGGCGGAUCAGAUCUGGUGGGAUUCCCCGGUUAGACAUUUUGGUGUCUCGAUUGUUCACUUUGCUUGACCAUGGCCUCCAUUUUUGUAGAAAACAUCAGUCUACUGAGGUCAAAAUUGUAUGUCUUUGUGAAGGGUUGCUUGAAAAUGAACUUUUUCCCACAGUUCAAAUGCAGGUUUGAAUUUCUGGUAAAAAGUGACAGCCCUAGUGUGAAGGCUGUGGUCCUUGCUGCAGCAGCCAUGACUAUUUUUAAGCUUGUCCUUUUUACUCGACUAACCACAUUUCCUAUCUAAUGAUGUGCAAAAUGCCCCCAAUAAAACUUAAAUACAUGUAUAAAUAAUUGCUUUUAUUUUGCUUUCUUAUUUGCUCCUGUUCUCUGCAGCCUUGUAGUCACGUGUACUUCACAGUUAGUUGUACCUGUGCUGCAGCCUCUCCAGGUGCCCUUCACUGAAGGAUGUGGGAGGAAAAGCUCCUCUCUUCUGCUCCCUGAUAAGCACACCCAGGCGCAGACGGGCCUCCUGAGACCACGCUGCAAACACACCAGCGCUACACCGCCCCGCAGAAGGUCAAUGAGAGACGAACCGGCCACAGCCUGCCUGGGGACCGAGGAGACUAGGCGACCUGACAUCCUCAACCGCUGCACAGGAGUCCUACAAGUUAAAGAAGUAAAUUAUGUAAGAUCCAAUCGGAGGACAGCAAAUUCAUCUUUGUUUGGCUUCUCCCACUUGAGAACACGGGGAGGAUAAUGAAAGGAGUGCGGACUUGUUAAGUCAAACAUAUGGCCGAAGAAAUGCUGCAGAUUGCCUCAGGAGUUUGCAGGCACGAUGGCAUCCCACUACAUUUCACAGGUCAAUAUUUGCUGGAUGUAUUGGCUUCAGUAAACACAGCAGAGAGUGGGAAUAGAGUUCUCAAGCAGCUGUACUGUAUGAAAUUUGUUGUGCCCCGGUAACGACACAACACAAAGCCAGGCAGGUGGUAAUAAAGAUCCUCUCUGCGCACAGAUACCUCACACCCUCACUCUCCCUCAGCCCUAAUUUAUUCCCCAAGGUGCUAUGAGUGAUUUUGUCUCCUCUUUCCCUUAUAUUAAACAUUGCACACUAUUAGCUCUCAAUAAUCAUUUGCUGCAGCCCAGGACACAAUGAUUUCCCAUGACACAUAAAACUGCAAUAACGUCAGCUCGCUUUUAAGAAAUAAUAUCGCAGACGUUUCUUCCUUUUUUUCUUUUUUAUGCAGCUCCCUCGGCUGGAGAAAAUACCUCCACACGGCUCGCCCACUCUGGUAUGUAGGGGGAAAAAGAUUGUACAAAACCAUUUGUAAGUUUCAAAAGUUACAAAAAUCUAGUUUCUGCACUUCUCGCUGAAAAAAAUCCAUAUCUGAGUUUUUCAAAAGCUGGAAGGAACAUUUCAGGAGGGAGAGGAGGAAACACUCUGAGGGAGACAGAUAGAGGAAAAGUCAGAUUCAGUGCUUUAGAAAUAUUGUUCAGUGAGUUCUUUUACCCUAAAUAAUAAACACAAACAUCCAUAUUUUGUGGAGGAAAUCUUCAGUGGCCCUUCUGUAUAGCUUUAAGAGACAAACUGAUGUGAGAUUGUUUA